rnacentral:rRNA from 1 species
AUGGCCUAAGAACACGCUCAUUCUUCAGCCGUAGAGAGACUUUUGAAUUGUAAGGUACCAUUACGAGCUCAAUAUAUAAGAGUGUUAUUCUGUGAAAUAACUCAAAUUUCAAAUCAUUCACUUGCUUCAACUACUCAUGCUAUGGAUGUGGGAGCAUCACCUCCGUUCCUUUGGGCUUUUGAGGAGCAGGAGAAAUUGUUAGAAUUCUAUGAAAGAGUCCCGGGAGCCAGGAUGCAUGCCAAUUUCAUACGACCUGGUGGAGUGGCACAAGAUCUGCCUCUUGGCCUAUGUCGAGAUAUUGAUUCCUCCACACAACAAUUUGCUUCUCGUAUCGACGAAUUAGAAGAGAUGUCAACCGGCAACCGUAUCUGGAAACAACGAUUAGUGGAUAUUGGUACUGUCACUGCACAACAAGCAAAGGAUUGGGGAUUCAGUGGUGUAAUGUUAAGAGGUCAUGCGACAUGA